rnacentral:lncRNA from 1 species
GAGCCUAGGUUUGUCUAGUGGCUCACAUAGGUAUUUGUAGAUCAGCUUAGGAAAGUUAAUUGGGGUAUCUUGGAGAAUAUAGUACAUUAGGGCUAGGUCCCUCUCGGAUACAAAGUCAAAGCGGCCGGUCUUGAGAAAGAGGGUCCUAGAUAUAAUACUCAGGAGGAGCCGCAUUUCAACUGAAAGCUGACUAGCGGACACCUCAUCUAGUGGGGAUUGGGGUGGACUCCCUAAUAUGGCCGUAAGGGCCUCAGUCCUAUCGGCCGGGUGAGUGGGAAACACCCCU